rnacentral:lncRNA from 1 species
AGAUUCUAUCAAUGCAGAAAUAAAAUUGCACCAAUCCAUUUUCUCUGUAAUUGCUCCAAACACUAAUGAGAGAAUCACCUACUGAAACUGGCCACAAUUAGAGUUAGCUUGGCAUUUAAAAUAAUAUUCCCCCAGUCAGUUUCAGGGUAUAAAUAUAAGGGCAAUCACAAAGCUCAUAUUUUAUGGCCGUCAAACCUGUGUCAGGGGACUCUCAGUUAUCCAUUAUUCAGAAUACACCAUCUCUGACAGUGCAUCUUUAUUCCACUAACCAGACAAGGCAGGUUAGCAUGCACGAGCUACUGACAGUAAGAAUAAAUGCAUUGCAAAACAAGCAAAGCUGGAAAGAAAAACUACAUGAUUGCACUGUGUCCUUUCAUAAUGAUUUUCUUCAUUACAAAGAAAUGAGAAAAAUAGUGGAGGUUUACCUCAUUGUGAAAUUCACAUUGGUGCUUUCCCUAAAUGUUAAUCCAGAUGAAGAACAUCUUUUAAGAUGUGUUCAAAAGAACAAAGAGAAAGGCUGAGGUGUAUCUCAGUCGCAAAACCAUGACUAGAAAGAAGAAGAGAGUAAGUGUGAGUUCAACUUUACUCAUGAAUUUGUAUUUUACAGCUUAUUUGGAUAGAGAAUUCAUAUGUCUAAACACACAUACACAAAGGCACACACAAAGCAACAAACACAAACAUAUAUGCAUACAUACAGAGACGCUCAGAGGCACACAUAUACAUACAAACAGAUACACACACAUAUAUGUGCUCCUAUGCUACUACAGGGCAUACUUUUAAGAAAAUCUUAAAAUGCAUAUGUUGACAUAAACAUCAAAUGAAAGCACACGUUGUUGGUUUUCAUUAGGGUGUGUAGAGUUAUAUAAAUAGAGGUGUGUGGAUCAACUUGUAAUUUUUGCAAAGAUCACAGUUUCAUGUCUGUCCACAGACUCUGAGAUGAAAUCACUAAUUGCUUCUUUUAUGACGUUAAGCACUAAAAUAAAUGUUAUGUCCCUAUAACAAAAUACCUCAGCCAACCAUAUUGGGUUGAUUACAUUUUCAAGGGUUUGAUCACAUUACUGUGUAGAGGAAUAUCAGGGGAGCAGCUUCAUCACAGAAGCAGGAAGCAAAUAUCUGCUCCACUGUGUCUCCCUGUCUCUUUCAUUCUACGUGGCUCGCCAUUGAUGGAACAUUUCUGCCUACAGUUAGGCUUUGUCUUCUUUAUCUUGUCUAGAAAUACCCUCCUAGACACAGUAGAGGUAUGCUUCACCAAUAUCCUAAGUAUCUCUCAAUUCAGAUAGAUACACAAGUUAUAUCAACAUUAAUCAUUAACAAUUAUCAUGGAAUUGCUUAAGGAAAUACACUUAUAUAAAUAUUUAUAGUAUUAAAACCAUAAAAUUGUCUAACAUCUAUUUUUCUUGUGAUAAGAUGCCAUUUUAUAUUUUCUUUUAUUGAAAAUAGAUUUUGUUCAUAGGGCAUAUUCUGUAUACAAUUUCCUUACCAUAUUCUGUUUAAAGAAAGGAAAAUUUUAAGUACUGCAUAACAGUUACAUAAUUAACAUUAAGAAAAUUCUUAAAAAAUUUUGCAUAAUGUUAGUCACAACCUCAAGCACUGAUUUUGUGUUUGAGACUACAUGACAAUUGCUUGCUUUAUGAUUGACAGAUGAACCUCCUAUUCUCUUAGAAGAGAACCAAAAAUUAUGAACAGCAUUUCGCUUAUGCUCAAUAAUUAUUCAGUAUUUAUAUAAAGAUAUGUAUAACCUACCUAGGGACUGGAAAUAUAAUAUCAUUUGAAAAAUAUUUACUGUUACCUGAUCAAAAUGAUUAACAUGCCUUGAAUAAGUGAACAGUCUCAUUAACAAUUUUUCCACCAGAUAUUUAUAGUUAACCCAGUGACAUUUUACUUUGUUGAAUAAGGAGCUGUAGUGCCAGGUGUAAUAUACAUUCAUAAUGAGAUCUGCAUGAUUUGAAUUUAAUUACAUUAGACUUACAUAUUUUGUAAAGAACUAUAUACCGAUUGAUAUAUCUAUUUAUCAUUCCUUAUAUGUAUAUAUUACUUACUGGUAUAUAAUAAGCUAUAUAUUUAAAGUAUUUAUUUCUGAAUUUAAAGAAUCAACUGAUACAUAAUGUAUGAUCUUUCUUUCACAUCUCUUCCCUUAUUUUUUAAAUAUUAGAAAGUUAGUAAAUGCUUUUAUUAGACUUAUUCCUGUCAAAUGCGUUUUGGAAAAUGUUUUAAGUGGGAUUGUGUAUCAAAUUUAUUUUGAAUGUUUAGUGUGAAAGCAUAAAUUUCAUAACAUUAACUGUAUAUCUUAUACCUGUUUAAUUCACCUAUUCUGUCAACUCUGUAGAUGCUAUGGAAUUUCCCACUUAAGC